rnacentral:tRNA from 1 species
UCAGUGUUGUAUAGUGGUUUGAGUGUUGGUCUAUGACUCUGGAGACCAGGGUUCGAAUCCCUGGCUACAGAA